rnacentral:rRNA from 1 species
GAUGAACGCUGGCGGCGUGCCUAAUACAUGCAAGUCGAGCGAGCGGACGAGAAGCUUGCUUCUCUGAUGUUAGCGGCGGACGGGUGAGUAACACGUGGAUAACCUACCUAUAAGACUGGGAUAACUUCGGGAAACCGGAGCUAAUACCGGAUGAUAUUUUGAACCGCAUGGUUCAAAAGUGAAAGACGGUCUUGCUGUCACUUAUAGAUGGAUCCGCGCUGCAUUAGCUAGUUGGUAAGGUAACGGCUUACCAAGGCAACGAUGCAUAGCCGACCUGAGAGGGUGAUCGGCCACACUGGAACUGAGACACGGUCCAGACUCCUACGGGAGGCAGCAGUAGGGAAUCUUCCGCAAUGGGCGAAAGCCUGACGGAACAACGCCGCGUGAGUGAUGAAGGUCUUCGGAUCGUAAAACUCUGUUAUUAGGGAAGAACAUAUGUGUAAGUAACUGUGCACAUCUUGACGGUACCUAAUCAGAAAGCCACGGCUAACUACGUG